rnacentral:rRNA from 1 species
GAUGAACGCUAGCGGCAGGCCUAAUACAUGCAAGUCGAACGAGGCUCGGUAGCAAUAUCAAGCUUAGUGGCGCACGGGUGCGUAACGCGUAUGCAACCUACCUUCAACUGGGGAAUAGCCCCUCGAAAGAGGGAUUAAUACCCCAUAGUAAUCUGAAGUGGCCUCACUUUAGGUUUAAAGUUCCGACGGUUGAAGAUGGGCAUGCGUGACAUUAGCUAGUUGGUGAGGUAACGGCUCACCAAGGCUACGAUGUCUAGGGGUUCUGAGAGGAUGAUCCCCCACACUGGUACUGAGACACGGACCAGACUCCUACGGGAGGCAGCAGUAAGGAAUAUUGGUCAAUGGACGAAAGUCUGAACUAGCCAUGCCGCGUGAAGGAUGACGGCCCUAUGGGUUGUAAACUUCUUUUAUGCGGGAAUAAACCCGGGUACGUGUACCCGGCUGAAUGUACCGUAAGAAUAAGGAUCGGCUAACUCCGUGCCAGCCGCCGCCGUAA